UGAGGCUUUGAAACUCUCAGCCAGCUC
rnacentral:piRNA from 1 species